rnacentral:miRNA from 1 species
CUUUUUCCCACGCUGUGUAAAAUGACACAGAGCACUGUGAUUGGAUGGCUUGAAAGCCAUCCAAUCACAGUGCUCUGUGUCAUUUUACACAGCGUG